UGCCGCCGGUCGCGCUCGCAGCCGGCCCGCUCGGCGCACCCACCUCGCUCGAGGUUGGGCGAGCGCGGAAGUAGAGUUCGGGACGGCGGAUCGGAAUCCAUCGACCGAUUCUCUCUUUCUCUCCUCUCCCUUGGAUUCCUGUAGGCGGUGGAUCAAUCUUGCCUUCGUGGUGGCGGCAGAACGAGCGCCGUGAGAUCAGGUGGACCUGCUUCUGAUUCCUCCUGGUGCUUGGGACGUUUUCGGCUAGAUUGAUUUACUAGCUACGUCCAAGCAGGCCACUGGAUUGAUUUCAUGAGGCUUACUAGCUACGUCCCAAUCAAGAUAGCUAGACUUACUAGCUACGUCCCAAGCAGGCCACUGGAUUGAUUUCAUGAGGCUUACUAGCUACGUCCCAAUCAAGAUAGCUAGACUUACUAGCUACGUCCCAAGCAGGCCAAUCCAAUAUGUUGAUCAAUUUGAUUGUUCUGGCUGGAGGUCAGGAGGUCAGAAGUGCACUGCGGGAGCGUGUACUGCGACUAUUUCUGCACUGCCGAGGAAGGCUUGAUCUUUCCCACAGGUCCACCUUCUUUACCUUUCCGUUCUUUGAACUGGAUAAGUUCUGAUAUUCUAACAUUGAUGGAAAAUCAUUAUCUUCUGUAAAGCCACAUUUCAUUUUAUGAUUUUUAGCAGAAGCUCGCUUCGAGGUCUUGGUGUGGGGCUGCUGGGGAAGGGAAUGUCCUUCUACUUAGUGAAAGUCGUUGUUGCUGAGGCUGAUUUUACCUUCUUUCUAAGUGUUCUAUUUUAUUAGUGCAAUUGGUUCGAGUUAAACUAACAUCCAUCGUACAAAUAUUUGUGGGACAUAUUCAGGAUUGGGCAAAGAAUCACUCUGGUGACCUAGAGAUAGAUGAAGCUUUAAAGAAGGGAGAAGAUGCUGGGCUUGCCUUGGUUAGCAGCAAUUAUCAUUUCAUUUUUGUGUUUAUCAGCAUAAGCUAAUAUCUGGAAGUAGGGCUUCUUUACUCUGUACUCCUGCAAUUUUUAAUGUUCCUGGUGUCACUUUCCCCAGUACUCUUCUAUAGCUGUGUUUUGUGCUAAAAAGUGAAAAAUUCAAACGUUUUGCAGUCACUACCAGCAAGUAAUAGCACUGACUAUUAUUUUAAAUAAAAUAUGGAAUCGAGCUUUCAGCUGCAUCUUUUAGCAUCCUAGCGCACUCAUCAACUUCAGAGUUACCACUGGGGUCACUUUUCUCAAGAAAUCUGGAAAGAAGCGAGGAUUCUCAAGUAAGAUAAGUCUGCUUACAAAAAUUUGCCUACUGGAAAGUAGAUAAGAGACUCAUGAAGUAAGAAUACAUGCCUACAUAUUAUACAUAGCAGGCUUCUGACUUCUCUGAUUCUGCAAGCCUUGAGGCUGUGAAACAUCUAUGCUAGGUCGCCACACUUCUGCCACCUUCAUUUGAUGAGGUUCAGCGUUCACUACUAUGAAAGAAGGAGGCAUAUAUUUUCCUUGUGGAAUUUCCAGUAGAAUGGCAGUGAGAACGAGUAAAAAUCUACAACAGUAUGACUGUAUGGUUCUCACUCAAAGUAGAGGCCCAACAAAAUUUUUUGAAGUAGGAGUCGAAAACUACAAAUCCAUCUAUUCCUAGAAUGGAGCUGGUUGGAGUUGAGCCUAAAAUUGAGCGGGUAGUUCGGUGGCACCGACAUCCAGCUGAAAGUUUUAUAGGAGGGUUAGUAAAGCAAAUUUGUUCAUGAGCAAAUGUGCCAGCAAAACAUUGAGUCAGAGUGCAAGACAAAUGCUCUUAACAGUUUUUUUGGUCGCUUUUCUUUAAUUACAAUUCUUAUUAUUUUUAGUUGGCAUUGAUGUACAAAAGAAAAUCCUGUGCCUUUUUUGUCCUCUCAUUGACCAUUGUAUUUUUGAGUCAUAUCAAUCUAUGUAAAAGAAUUCAGUACCUUAUGUUUUGUAUAUUUGGAAAUGUCUAAA